rnacentral:miRNA from 1 species
UGAACACAGCUGGUGAUAUCUCU